rfam:Schistosoma curassoni strain Dakar, Senegal genome assembly, scaffold: SCTD_contig0000019
AUCCAGUUGAUCAGUCCAAAAUAGGACGAAACAUGUGUCCUGGAU